GGAAUUGGCGGGGGAGCACUACAACGGGUGGAGCCUGCGGUUCAAUUGGAUUCAACGCCGGGAAGCUUACCGGGUCAGACAGCAACAUGAAGGUCAGGCUAAAGACCUUACCAGAUUCGCUGAGAGGAGGUGCAUGGCCGUCGUCAGUUCGUAUCGUGAGACAUCCUGUUAAGUCAGGCAACGAGCGAGACCCGUGCCCACAGUUGCCAGCAUACCCUCCGGGGUGAUGGGCACACUGUGGGGACCGCCGCUGCUAAAGCGGAGGAAGGUGCGGGCUACGGUAGGUCAGUAUGCCCCGAAUCACCCGGGCUACACGCGGGCUACAAUGGUUGGGACAAUGGGUGCCUACACCGAGAGGUGAUGGUAAUCUCCUAAACCCAGCCCUAGUUCGGAUUGAGGGCUGCAACUCGCCCUCAUGAAGCCGGAAUCCGUAGUAAUCGCGUAUCAACAUCACGC
rnacentral:rRNA from 1 species